CAGGCCUAACACAUGCAAGUCGGACGAGAAGGUUCCUUCGGGAACUGGAGAGUGGCGCACGGGUGAGUAACGCGUGGGGACCUACCUCUUAGUGGGGGAUAACGGUUGGAAACGACCGCUAAUACCGCAUACGCCCUUCGGGGGAAAGAUUUAUGGCUAAGAGAUGGACCCGCGUUGGAUUAGAUAGUUGGUGAGGUAACGGCUCACCAAGUCAGCGAUCCAUAGCUGGUUUGAGAGGAUGAUCAGCCACACUGGGACUGAGACACGGCCCAGACUCCUACGGGAGGCAGCAGUGGGGAAUAUUGGACAAUGGGGGCAACCCUGAUCCAGCCAUGCCGCGUGAGUGAAGAAGGCCUUCGGGUUGUAAAGCUCUUUCAGAUGCGAAGAUGAUGACGGUAACAUCAGAAGAAGCCCC
rnacentral:rRNA from 1 species